rnacentral:rRNA from 1 species
UACGUAGGGUGCAAGCGUUAAUCGGAAUUACUGGGCGUGAAGCGUGCGCAGGCGGUUGUGCAAGACAGAUGUGAAAUCCCCGGGCUCAACCUGGGAACUGCAUUUGUGACUGCACGGCUAGAGUGUGUCAGAGGGGGGUAGAAUUCCACGUGUAGCAGUGAAAUGCGUAGAUAUGUGGAGGAAUACCGAUGGCGAAGGCAGCCCCCUGGGAUAACACUGACGCUCAUGCACGAAAGCGUGGGGAGCAAACAGG